rnacentral:rRNA from 1 species
ACGAACGCUGGCGGCGUGCUUAACACAUGCCAGUCGAACGGGUCUGCCCUGUUUUUUGCGGGGUGGGUCAGUGGCGAACGGGUGAGUAACACGUGAGUAACCUGCCCCUCACUUCUGGAUAACCGCUUGAAAGGGUGGCUAAUACGGGGUGUUCUGGCUGUGCCGCAUGGUGUGGCUGGGAAAGAUUCACUUUUGUGGUGUUUUGGUGGGGGAUGGGCUCGCGGCCUAUCAGCUUGUUGGUGGGGUGAUGGCCUGCCAAGGCUUUGACGGGUAGCCGGCCUGGGAGGGUGGGCGGUCACACUGGGACGGAGAUACGGCCCAGACUCCGGCGGGAGGCAGCAGUGGAGGGUAUGGCACAAUGGGCGGAAGCCUGAUGCAGCGACGUCGCGUGAGGGAUGGAGGCCUUCGGGUUGUGAACCUCUUUCGCCGGUGAAGAAGGUCCUGCUCUUUGUGGGGGGGUUGACGGUAGCCGGGUUAUGAAGCGCCGGCUAACUACGUG